UACGUAGGGGGCAAGCGUUAUCCGGAUUUAUUGGGCGUAGAGAGCUCGUAGGCGGUUUAGCAAGUCGGGUGUGAAAACUCCGGGCUCAACCCGGAGAGGCCACUCGAUACUGCCAUGACUCGAGUCCGGUAGGGGAGUGCGGAAUUCCUGGUGUAGCGGUGAAAUGCGCAGAUAUCAGGAGGAACACCGGUGGCGAAGGCGGCACUCUGGGCCGGUACUGACGCUGAGGAGCGAAAGCGUGGGUAGCAAACAGG
rnacentral:misc_RNA from 1 species